UACGUAGGGGGCAAGCGUUGUCCGGAUUUAUUGGGCGUAAAGAGCUCGUAGGCGGUUCAGCAAGUCGGAUGUGAAAAAUCUGGGCUCAACCCAGUGAAGCACCCGAUACUGCUGUGACUAGAGUCCGGUAGGGGAGUGUGGAAUUCCUGGUGUAGCGGUGAAAUGCGCAGAUAUCAGGAGGAACACCAACGGCGAAGGCAGCACUCUGGGCCGGUACUGACGCUGAGGAGCGAAAGCCAGGGGAGCAAACGGG
rnacentral:rRNA from 1 species